UAUCAACCCUCCAACAGUGCACUAUUUCCUUAAUAUUGGACCUCUGAUUGUGCGAUACUCCCUCAGUACGAAACAUGACAAUGCAGCAGUCCCUCAGAAAUAACUCUCUGGCAGGCUGUUGAGGAUCGGAUCAAGCAGUUGCAAGAAGUAUACUGGGAUUUUGGUCCUUCAUCACAACACUUCCUUUUGAUGGAUCUGUUGGAGUUGCACACAGCACAACGCGUCUUUGAUCAACACAAAUUGACACAGAACGAACAACUUCUAAAUGUGACUGAAGUACUCAACUGUUUAACGUCCAUUUAUGAUGGUUUGGAACAAAAUCACAAGGACUUGGUCAAUGUGCCACUCUGUGUCGACGUGUAUCUGAA